GACGAACGCUGGCGGCGUGCCUAAUACAUGCAAGUCGAACGCAGUGGGGACGGGUGAGUAACACGUGGGUAACCUCCCAUCAGAGGGGAUAACACUUGGAAACAGGUGCUAAACCGAUACUGAUGGAUGGACCCGCGGUGCAUUAGCUAGUUGGUGAGGUAACGGCUCACCAAGGCCACGAUGCAUAGGCGACCCGAGAGGGGGUACGGGCAACGUGGGAACGGGACACGGGCCAGAAUCCCACGGGAGGGAGGAGGAGGGAAGUCUCGGCAAUUGAAGAAAAGCUGACCGAGCAAAGCCGCGUGAGGGAAGAAGGGUUUCGGAUUGGAAAACCCUGUUGGUAAGGAAGCGGUAUCUAACCAGAAAGCCACGGCUAACUACGUUGCAGCCGCCGCGGUAAUUC
rnacentral:rRNA from 1 species